ensembl:lncRNA
CUUGAUGUAAAUAUAUAAAGAUUCUUUUGGGUUUCUGUAGAUAGUAAACUCUUUUUUAAAAAACAAAAAAGGGAAACAUUUUUAUAAAGUUAUAUUUUAAUCACCCUUUUUAUAUAUGGUAGCUAUCUCCAACCCUAGGAAGAGGAUGAUAAUUUGUUUCCAUGGAGGUCUGUGGGUAUCCAUUCACCUACCUAUUCUAGUUUAAAGAUAAUCUCAUGUAAUUAUUUUUGCCAGUUUAAUGAGGAUGCUGAAAAGAAUUUUUUUCCAGUAGUAACUUUUGUUAACUGAAUGCAUUUGGAAUCUUUGUCUUCAAGAUGAAAAAGUUAACCAGCUCCAAAUUUUUAUACUUGGUGUCCAUUUCUCUCCACCAUAGUUUUUGGUUAUAACUCCUCCUCCCAUUCUAUAUACAGAUUUGCUCAUCUUCUAAACAACCUUAGUUUCCAAGAAAACCUCGAUUGUAAUUUCUACUGUUUUACCUUCUCUGAAGUCAUAGAAGGGAGUGUUUACAUUUUAAAAAAUCCUUUGUUUUUCACAAAUGUAAAUUUUUCCCUACCAACGCAUGAUUUUGUAAUAAUCCAUAGCAUUUUUGAUUAGGCAAAGAUACCACAAUAAGAUAAUCAACAUGGUUUCAAGGCAAAAUUUCCAGUAUGUAGGAAAAUGUAAAAACAAUCCAAUGGAUACAGGCUUUACCUAAAUAAUUAAAAUCUGUUUCAGUGUUAUUUCUGUGUUAACACCAAGUCUUCAUUAUUUAGCGCUUACUGAGUUGUUUCCAUUUUCUUAGUAUUGCCUGUGUGUCUCUACAUUUGCAGUAUACUGUGAGUCAAAUAUAUUUCUUAAGUGAAAUGAACUGUUGUCCAUCCCUUGCAAAUAAAAGACAAAAGGGAAAGGCAUUUAUACUGACAUAGCAUUGUAUUUACUUUAAUCUUUUUCCCUUUUCCAAAUGGCUAUAUGUCUGUAUAGUUAAUAUAAAUAUAGGGAAAAGCUAGGUGAGUGGAAUGACACUACCAUUGUGAACCCAUCCAUAGCUGUAUAUAAGCAGUUUUAUUAAAUCUGCAAAGCCUAAGCCAGCCAGGAAGUCUUAGCCACAGCCUGGUUAUGUUUAUUUGCUUUGUUUUAAGGUACAUGAAAUAAUAGGAGUAUUAAUGGCCAAAGCAAUUAGAAUGUCUCGGUUCCAGAUUUGUGUUCAUCAAUCCAGGCAAAUGGAUAAUUUUUUUAAAUAGCCAUUAUAUUUAGACUAGAUGUCAGCUGAAAUGAAAGGAUGGAGAUCCACCAAAUGCAUAACUUUGAUACACACCUGGGACAUCUCCAAGGUUGCCUAGGAACAUAUAAAGGUAUUUUCUGCUAGUGAUGUUUUCCCCUCCUUGGCGACAGCAAUAUUAUUGAGUUCACUUCCAUCUUCAGAGCUUACUUCCUGUGGUGCCAAUGUUAUUUGUUGCAAUUUACUACAUUUUUAUAUGAGCCUACUUAUAGGUGCCAUUAGAUAAACUCAGGUCUCUCGAAUGAAGGGAUUUCUAGCACAGUUAGGGAAAAGGAUAAUUGUAUAGACAGCCAUAAAAAUCAAUAGGAAAAAUUAGAACUCAUUGCUCUCUGUUAAGUAAAAGUCCAAGUGUAUUCUGUGUAUUAUCUAUGUCAUUUUCAACAUGCUAAUAGGCUGCCUUUCCAGUGAUCUAAGUCGAAUAUUUAUUUAGAAUAUUAUUUUCUUGGCUAAAACACCACUUUUGCUUUUUUCUUAACUGAAAAAUUAUUAUUUUCUUGUCAUUUAUGCAAGACUUGGUUUUGUUCUUAGUAGAUGAAGACAGUAGCUCUGUACAGGAAUAUAUCUAUAUUGGUCAUCUAACAUGAAGGAGUUUCUUCAUGUACGUUUCAGAAAGCAUCUACUUUUUAUGGACAUAAUUCAUAAUUCUGUCUGUUCUAUUUUGGUUGAAUUACAGGACAAAUCCUAACCAUUGCAACCCCAGUAGUAUUAAAGAAAACAUGGAAUGUCACGGAGACUGUUCAUUAGCUGUACGUAGACAGUUUAUGUGCGAUUUUCCCAUGUCCCCUUCCCUCCCUUCCCAGAGAAUUUUCCUGAAGGUAAAAGCCAUGCAGAAG